rnacentral:rRNA from 1 species
GGUUAAGCGACUAAGCGUACACGGUGGAUGCCUAGGCAGUCAGAGGCGAUGAAGGGCGUGCUAAUCUGCGAUAAGCGUCGGUAAGCUGAUAUGAAGCGUUAUACCCGACGAUACCCGAAUGGGGAAACCCAGUGUGUUUCGACACACUAUCAUUAUGUGAAUACAUAGCGUAAUGAGGCGAACCGGGGGAACUGAAACAUCUCAGUACCCCGAGGAAAAGAAAUCAACCGAGAUUCCCCCAGUAGCGGCGAGCGAACGGGGAGGAGCCCAGAACCUGAAUCAGUUUGUGUGUUAGUGGAAGCGUCUGGAAAGUCGCACAGUAAAGGGUGAUAGUCCCGUACACAAAAAUGCACAAAUUGUGAGUUCGAUGAGUAGGGCGGGACACGUGACAUCCUGUCUGAAUAUGGGGGGACCAUCCUCCAAGGCUAAAUACUCCUGACUGACCGAUAGUGAACCAGUACCGUGAGGGAAAGGCGAAAAGAACCCCGGCGAGGGGAGUGAAAUAGAACCUGAAACCGUGUACGUACAAGCAGUGGGAGCCUACUUGUUAGGUGACUGCGUACCUUUGUAUAAUGGGUCAGCGACUUAUAUUCUGUAGCAAGGUUAACCGUAUAGGGGAGCCGCAGGGAAACCGAGUCUUAACUGGGCGUUAAGUUGCAGGGUAUAGACCCGAAACCCGGUGAUCUAGCCAUGGGCAGGUUGAAGGUUGGGUAACACUAACUGGAGGGUAAGAACCGACUAAUGUUGAAAAAUUAGCGGAUGACUUGUGGCUGGGGGUGAAAGGCCAAUCAAACCGGGAGAUAGCUGGUUCUCCCCGAAAGCUAUUUAGGUAGCGCCUCGUGAAUUCAUCUUCGGGGGUAGAGCACUGUUUCGGCUAGGGGGUCAUCCCGACUUACCAACCCGAUGCAAACUACGAAUACCGAAGAAUGUUAUCACGGGAGACACACGGCGGGUGCUAACGUUCGUCGUGAAGAGGGAAACAACCCAGACCGCCAGCUAAGAUCCCAAAGUCAUGGUUAAGUGGGAAACGAUGUGGGAAGGCACAGACAGCCAGGAUGUUGGCUUAGAAGCAGCCAUCAUUUAAAGAAAGCGUAAUAGCUCACUGGUCGAGUCGGCCUGCGCGGAAGAUGUAACGGGGCUAAACCAUGCACCGAAGCUGCGGCAGCGACGCUUAGGCGUUGUUGGGUAGGGGAGCGUUCUGUAAGCCGUCGAAGGUGGCCUGUGAGGGCUGCUGGAGGUAUCAGAAGUGCGAAUGCUGACAUAAGUAACGAUAAUGCGGGUGAAAAACCCGCACGCCGGAAGACCAAGGGUUCCUGUCCAACGUUAAUCGGGGCAGGGUGAGUCGACCCCUAAGGCGAGGCUGAAAAGCGUAGUCGAUGGGAAACAGGUUAAUAUUCCUGUACUCGGUGUUACUGCGAAGGGGGGACGGAGAAAGCUAGGUUAUCCGGGCGACGGUUGUCCCGGUUUAAGCGUGAAGGUGGAUGACUUUGGUAAAUCCGGGUCAUUAUUAACACUGAGGCGUGAUGACGAGUCACUACGGUGAUGAAGUAACCGAUGCUACGCUUCCAGGAAAAGCCUCUAAGCUCCAGGUAACAUCAAAUCGUACCCCAAACCGACACAGGUGGUCAGGUAGAGAAUACUCAGGCGCUUGAGAGAACUCGGGUGAAGGAACUAGGCAAAAUGGUGCCGUAACUUCGGGAGAAGGCACGCUGAUGGUAGGUGAAGUGACUUGCUCAUGGAGCUGAAAUCAGUCGAAGAUACCAGCUGGCUGCAACUGUUUAAUAAAAACACAGCACUGUGCAAACACGAAAGUGGACGUAUACGGUGUGACGCCUGCCCGGUGCCGGAAGGUUAAUUGAUGGGGUCAGCCGCAAGGCGAAGCUCUUGAUCGAAGCCCCGGUAAACGGCGGCCGUAACUAUAACGGUCCUAAGGUAGCGAAAUUCCUUGUCGGGUAAGUUCCGACCUGCACGAAUGGCGUAAUGAUGGCCAGGCUGUCUCCACCCGAGACUCAGUGAAAUUGAACUCGCUGUGAAGAUGCAGUGUACCCGCGGCAAGACGGAAAGACCCCGUGAACCUUUACUAUAGCUUGACACUGAACCUUGAGCCUUGAUGUGUAGGAUAGGUGGGAGGCUUUGAAGCGUGGACGCCAGUCUGCGUGGAGCCAACCUUGAAAUACCACCCUUUAAUGUUUGAUGUUCUAACGUGGACCCGUAAUCCGGGUUGCGGACAGUGUCUGGUGGGUAGUUUGACUGGGGCGGUCUCCUCCCAAAGCGUAACGGAGGAGCACGAAGGUUAGCUAAUCCUGGUCGGACAUCAGGAGGUUAGUGCAAAGGCAUAAGCUAGCUUGACUGCGAGAGUGACAGCUCGAGCAGGUGCGAAAGCAGGUCUUAGUGAUCCGGUGGUUCUGAAUGGAAGGGCCAUCGCUCAACGGAUAAAAGGUACUCCGGGGAUAACAGGCUGAUACCGCCCAAGAGUUCAUAUCGACGGCGGUGUUUGGCACCUCGAUGUCGGCUCAUCACAUCCUGGGGCUGAAGUAGGUCCAAGGGUAUGGCUGUUCGCCAUUUAAAGUGGUACGCGAGCUGGGUUUAGAACGUCGUGAGACAGUUCGGUCCCUAUCUGCCGUGGGCGUUGGAAGAUUGAGAGGGGUUGCUCCUAGUACGAGAGGACCGGAGUGAACGCACCACUGGUGUACGGGUUGUGAUGCCAAUUGCAUUGCCCGGUAGCUAAGUGCGGAAGAGAUAACCGCUGAAAGCAUCUAAGCGGGAAACUUGCCUCGAGAUGAGUCUUCCCUGGGCACUAGAUGCCCCUGAAGGGCCGUUGAAGACGACGACGUAGAUAGGCUGGGUGUGUAAGCGUAGCGAUACGUUGAGCUAACCAGUACUAAUGACCCGAGAGGCUUAACCUU